rnacentral:rRNA from 1 species
ACAUGAGUAACGAUAAUGUGGGUGAAAAACCUACACGCCGAAAGUCCAAGGUUUCCUGCGCAACGUUAAUCGGCGCAGGGUGAGUCGGCCCCUAAGGCGAGGCAGAAAUGCGUAGUCGAUGGGAAACAGGUUAAUAUUCCUGUACCUUAUGAUAUUGCGAUGGGAUGACGGAGAAGGCUAAAUCAGCCAUCAGUUGGUUUUGGUGGUUUAAGCAAGUAGGGAGAGUUUCUAGGUAAAUCCGGAAACUUGUUAAUCCUGAGAUGUGAUGACGUUGUUCUUUCCUUCGGGGAAGAGCUUAAGUGAUUGAUGCCACGCUUCCAAGAAAAGUCUCUAAGCUUCAGAUAUCAUGAGACCGUACCCCAAACCGACACAGGUGGUCAGGUAGAGAAUACCAAGGCGUACGAGAGAACUAUGGUUAAGGAACUCGGCAAAAUACCCCCGUAACUUCGGGAGAAGGG